UUCCAGAAGUGUUAGGAUUUUUGACAUGAGCCACUGUGCCAGGCCUAAAGUAUUUUAAAAAUAACUUUUCGGACACCAUCUUUUAUUUGCUUCACUCCCUCCAUUCUUUAUCUGCUUAAUAAGCAUAUUUAGUUCCUUGAAAUAUUUAACCAAUUUCACCAACUGAAUGUGAGGUUUAGCCACAUUCAAUUGUGAAAUCAGCUACCUUACUUCUAUAACUCUUAUUUCCAAAGUAGGAUUGUUUGUUUCAUUUGCCUUUAGCAUUUAAAUCACCUGAAUAUUAACUGGAGAACAAGAAGAAAUAUGCCAAUUCUGUGCUUGCUAAAAUUUUCUUUGGAGAAUUCACUUUGCAUGAGGCUAUGUGGUUGGGCAAAGUGUAAGAUACAGGUUGUUGAGCUGAAGAAUAGAUAAAAGUAAUUGCCUGGUCUGCAGAAGUUUGACUAUUUAAAAAUAAUUCCUUAAUUUAGAUUGUUCUGAUUUUUUAAUAUUAUUAUUAAUAUGAUGAUAUCUUAUUUUACAUAUUUUAUAGUUAGCAUUAUACACAUAGUCUUUUUAAAACACUUCAAAAGGUAUAGAAAAUAUUUUUACUGUGCAUAUUUAAUGAAUAAGAAAAUUAAGGCCUGUGGAUAAAUGGCAUGACUAAUAAAAGGAUACACAAUGAUCAGAAUUUAGGUUUUCUGAUCCCAAUCUCAUUACUGUUUUGCUAUAUUUGUAUUUAUAAAUUAAAUGUUUUCACCCAGUAACAUUUGAUUGAGACAGUGUUAGACACAGGAAGCUGUAAUAUUCAUAGUUGGCAGCAGGUCAUGUUAAUAUGAAUUGGAUUCAUUUGUUGAGCUUGAAGAAUCACACUGACACGUAACAUAUAAUAUUUAUUUAUAAUAGGCCUUUAUUUUAAAAUAUGCCCCAGGGGUAUAACAAGGAUAUAACAUUUUUUACCUUCAGAUUCUUAUAAUAACCUUUUUCUUUUAAUGCAAGACAAGAAAGAGAAGAGCAUAUUAAUCAGAGAAUGGAAGUAGGAUUAGGAUAGAGGUGGAAUGUAAAAGGACAGUAAUACCAUUAUAUGAAAACAUAAAGGAAGUCUGUGUCAGAUAAAAUAAUUCAACUCUCAGGGGAAUGGGAAGGUAAUUAGAUAAAUAAAAUAUUAUCUAAAAUUAAUUUUGUGAGGGUUGCCGCCAUCUGUCUCAUUUCUGUGAUAUGUACAAUUCAGGUAAUAAUCUGGCUGCAAAUUAGGGACCUAGCUAUAUUAAAGUGAGCUGAGUCCUAGAGAUGCUACAUAUUUUAUUUUACCCUGCAUCAGUUUAUAAAAUUGAGAUAAUAAUACUUUCCUAUCCACCUUAUAGAAUUAUUCUGAAGAUCAAAUUGAACAGCAUGUGAAUGCACUUUGAAACAUUGAAAUCAUCGUGAUGCAAUACAGAGCUAUGCGAUUUCCAAAAAUCAUACAAGAAAGCAGUUCCAUUUCCUCAGAGUCACUUACAAAAUAAAAUGUAGGAUAUGCUAUGACUUUUGAUUGAAAUCUAGGGAGAGAUUCUCAGUAAACUCCUUAGAAAAAUCAGGAAAGUUAAGCUCUCUAUUUAAGAGUUGAAAGUGCCCAGAAUACAGACUAUAUUUGAAUUGUCUUAAAAUUCUGUCUUAUAACUAGGCAGUGGAUUUUUUUCUGUGCCUGCUGGAAUUAAUAUUGUUGCUGUUGCUUACAUUAGUCAUAGUAAUGUUGACAUCAAUCUCUACCUAGACAAAAAUGGCCCAAAUUAUUUGGUAACUUACUCAUUAAAUACUGAAAAUAUGGAAUAUAGAGUUGCUGAUUGGAUUAGAAAGAACUGAAAAUAUUUAGCAUUAGAGAUUUGCUGAUAUAUAUUUUAUGCAAUCUACUUGAAAAAGAUAAAGAACUAUGCUAAAGAUUUUCCCUUUUUGGGACAAUAACUGGCUGUGUUCAAGAAUUAUGAUCUUAGCGUGAGAUUGCUAGUUCUUCUUACAGGGCUUUGUCUUUGCCCUGGCCUGAUGAAAAUUAUCCAAUAUCUUGAAUUAAAAUAAAAGAAGAUACUGUUACUCAGUUUGUAGAUAAGCUGAAAAUUGAAGUCAUGACUAAUAUGAGUAUCCCAAGCUAGAAUGAAGUAUCAAAUCCAAGGGCAUAACAUUGACAACUCUAAAACUGAGAGACACAUUUAAGUAACACAAAAUAACAACUAAAUAAACUGUUAAAAUUUAGUAAUCAGCAUAAGCUUAAUGUAAGUCAAUAGUUUUACGAGGUUGCCAAGUAAAACUAAUCAAUUUUAGGAUGCAUUAAUAUUUAGAAAGAUGGAUGUGGUGAAUUCCUCUUAGCUGUCCUGAUGACUCUGCUGGGGUUUGUGGAGUGCUCUGCUUGUCACACUUUCUAAAUGGAAUACCUUCAGAGUUAAACAAGAAGAUGAUGAAAAAAGUUGAAAC